rnacentral:rRNA from 1 species
GGUUAAGCGACUAAGCGUACACGGUGGAUGCCCUGGCAGUCAGAGGCGAUGAAGGACGUGCUAAUCUGCGAUAAGCGUCGGUAAGGUGAUAUGAACCGUUAUAACCGGCGAUUUCCGAAUGGGGAAACCCAGUGUGUUUCGACACACUAUCAUUAACUGAAUCCAUAGGUUAAUGAGGCGAACCGGGGGAACUGAAACAUCUAAGUACCCCGAGGAAAAGAAAUCAACCGAGAUUCCCCCAGUAGCGGCGAGCGAACGGGGAGCAGCCCAGAGUCUGAAUCAGUGUGUGUGUUAGUGGAAGCGUCUGGAAAGGCGCGCGAUACAGGGUGACAGCCCCGUACACAAAAAUGCACAUGCUGUGAGCUCGAUGAGUAGGGCGGGACACGUGGUAUCCUGUCUGAAUAUGGGGGGACCAUCCUCCAAGGCUAAAUACUCCUGACUGACCGAUAGUGAACCAGUACCGUGAGGGAAAGGCGAAAAGAACCCCGGCGAGGGGAGUGAAAAAGAACCUGAAACCGUGUACGUACAAGCAGUGGGAGCACGCUUAGGCGUGUGACUGCGUACCUUUUGUAUAAUGGGUCAGCGACUUAUAUUCUGUAGCAAGGUUAACCGAAUAGGGGAGCCGAAGGGAAACCGAGUCUUAACUGGGCGUUAAGUUGCAGGGUAUAGACCCGAAACCCGGUGAUCUAGCCAUGGGCAGGUUGAAGGUUGGGUAACACUAACUGGAGGACCGAACCGACUAAUGUUGAAAAAUUAGCGGAUGACUUGUGGCUGGGGGUGAAAGGCCAAUCAAACCGGGAGAUAGCUGGUUCUCCCCGAAAGCUAUUUAGGUAGCGCCUCGUGAAUUCAUCUCCGGGGGUAGAGCACUGUUUCGGCAAGGGGGUCAUCCCGACUUACCAACCCGAUGCAAACUGCGAAUACCGGAGAAUGUUAUCACGGGAGACACACGGCGGGUGCUAACGUCCGUCGUGAAGAGGGAAACAACCCAGACCGCCAGCUAAGGUCCCAAAGUCAUGGUUAAGUGGGAAACGAUGUGGGAAGGCCCAGACAGCCAGGAUGUUGGCUUAGAAGCAGCCAUCAUUUAAAGAAAGCGUAAUAGCUCACUGGUCGAGUCGGCCUGCGCGGAAGAUGUAACGGGGCUAAACCAUGCACCGAAGCUGCGGCAGCGACACUGUGUGUUGUUGGGUAGGGGAGCGUUCUGUAAGCCUGUGAAGGUGUACUGUGAGGUAUGCUGGAGGUAUCAGAAGUGCGAAUGCUGACAUAAGUAACGAUAAAGCGGGUGAAAAGCCCGCUCGCCGGAAGACCAAGGGUUCCUGUCCAACGUUAAUCGGGGCAGGGUGAGUCGACCCCUAAGGCGAGGCCGAAAGGCGUAGUCGAUGGGAAACAGGUUAAUAUUCCUGUACUUGGUGUUACUGCGAAGGGGGGACGGAGAAGGCUAUGUUGGCCGGGCGACGGUUGUCCCGGUUUAAGCGUGUAGGCUGGUUUUCCAGGCAAAUCCGGAAAAUCAAGGCUGAGGCGUGAUGACGAGGCACUACGGUGCUGAAGCAACAAAUGCCCUGCUUCCAGGAAAAGCCUCUAAGCAUCAGGUAACAUCAAAUCGUACCCCAAACCGACACAGGUGGUCAGGUAGAGAAUACCAAGGCGCUUGAGAGAACUCGGGUGAAGGAACUAGGCAAAAUGGUGCCGUAACUUCGGGAGAAGGCACGCUGAUAUGUAGGUGAAGCGACUUGCUCGUGGAGCUGAAAUCAGUCGAAGAUACCAGCUGGCUGCAACUGUUUAUUAAAAACACAGCACUGUGCAAACACGAAAGUGGACGUAUACGGUGUGACGCCUGCCCGGUGCCGGAAGGUUAAUUGAUGGGGUUAGCGCAAGCGAAGCUCUUGAUCGAAGCCCCGGUAAACGGCGGCCGUAACUAUAACGGUCCUAAGGUAGCGAAAUUCCUUGUCGGGUAAGUUCCGACCUGCACGAAUGGCGUAAUGAUGGCCAGGCUGUCUCCACCCGAGACUCAGUGAAAUUGAACUCGCUGUGAAGAUGCAGUGUACCCGCGGCAAGACGGAAAGACCCCGUGAACCUUUACUAUAGCUUGACACUGAACAUUGAGCCUUGAUGUGUAGGAUAGGUGGGAGGCUUUGAAGUGUGGACGCCAGUCUGCAUGGAGCCGACCUUGAAAUACCACCCUUUAAUGUUUGAUGUUCUAACGUUGACCCGUGAUCCGGGUUGCGGACAGUGUCUGGUGGGUAGUUUGACUGGGGCGGUCUCCUCCUAAAGAGUAACGGAGGAGCACGAAGGUUGGCUAAUCCUGGUCGGACAUCAGGAGGUUAGUGCAAUGGCAUAAGCCAGCUUGACUGCGAGCGUGACGGCGCGAGCAGGUGCGAAAGCAGGUCAUAGUGAUCCGGUGGUUCUGAAUGGAAGGGCCAUCGCUCAACGGAUAAAAGGUACUCCGGGGAUAACAGGCUGAUACCGCCCAAGAGUUCAUAUCGACGGCGGUGUUUGGCACCUCGAUGUCGGCUCAUCACAUCCUGGGGCUGAAGUAGGUCCCAAGGGUAUGGCUGUUCGCCAUUUAAAGUGGUACGCGAGCUGGGUUUAGAACGUCGUGAGACAGUUCGGUCCCUAUCUGCCGUGGGCGCUGGAGAACUGAGGGGGGCUGCUCCUAGUACGAGAGGACCGGAGUGGACGCAUCACUGGUGUUCGGGUUGUCAUGCCAAUGGCACUGCCCGGUAGCUAAAUGCGGAAGAGAUAAGUGCUGAAAGCAUCUAAGCACGAAACUUGCCCCGAGAUGAGUUCUCCCUGACUCCUUGAGAGUCCUGAAGGAACGUUGAAGACGACGACGUUGAUAGGCCGGGUGUGUAAGCGCAGCGAUGCGUUGAGCUAACCGGUACUAAUGAACCGUGAGGCUUAACCUU